rnacentral:rRNA from 1 species
CCUACGGGUGGCUGCAGUGGGGAAUAUUGGACAAUGGGCGAAAGCCUGAUCCAGCCAUGCCGCGUGUGUGAAGAAGGCCUUCGGGUUGUAAAGCACUUUCAGUGGGGAAGAAAGCCUUGGGGCUAAUACCCUCGAGGAAGGACAUCACCCACAGAAGAAGCACCGGCUAACUCCGUGCCAGCAGCCGCGGUAAUACGGAGGGUGCGAGCGUUAAUCGGAAUUACUGGGCGUAAAGCGCGCGUAGGCGGUCUGUUAAGCCGGUUGUGAAAGCCCCGGGCUCAACCUGGGAACGGCAUCCGGAACUGUCAGGCUAGAGUGCAGGAGAGGAAGGUAGAAUUCCCGGUGUAGCGGUGAAAUGCGUAGAGAUCGGGAGGAAUACCAGUGGCGAAGGCGGCCUUCUGGACUGACACUGACGCUGAGGUGCGAAAGCGUGGGUAGCAAACAGGAUUAGAUACCCCUGUAGUC